rnacentral:rRNA from 1 species
UACGAAGGGGACUAGCGUUGUUCGGAAUCACUGGGCGUAAAGCGCACGUAGGCGGAUUCGUAAGUCAGGGGUGAAAUCCCGGGGCUCAACCUCGGAACUGCCUUUGAUACUGCGGGUCUUGAGUCCGAUAGAGGUGGGUGGAAUUCCUAGUGUAGAGGUGGAAUUCGUAGAUAUUAGGAAGAACACCGGUGGCGAAGGCGGCCCACUGGAUCGGUACUGACGCUGAGGUGCGAAAGCGUGGGGAGCAAACAGG